GCCAGUGUGGUGUAGUGGUCUGAGCACUGGACUACAACUCUGGAGACCAGGAUUCAAUUCCCCACUCAAGCA